AGAAUCAACGCUGGCGGCGUGCCUAACACAUGCAAGUCGAACGAGAAAGGGGAGCAAUCCCUGAGUAAAGUGGCGCACGGGUGAGUAACACGUGACUAACCUACCCUGGAGUGGGGGAUAACUGAGGGAAACCUUAGCUAAUACCGCAUAAUACCCACGGGUCAAAGGAGCAAUUCGCUCGAGGAGGGGGUCGCGGCCGAUUAGUUAGUUGGCGGGGUAAUGGCCCACCAAGACGAUGAUCGGUA
rnacentral:rRNA from 1 species